UUAUAAAAUUAAUUAUUUAUUUGUUUUUGGGGAAUUAACCUUUUGUUUUUGUAAUUUUUGAUAGGAUAGAUUUAGUUAUAGGGGAUUUGUAUUGUGAAAGAUGUAGUUAAAUAGUAAAAAGAAUACUUUGUUUGUUGUACCUUUUGUAUCAGGGUUUAUUAAAACUAGUUUUUUAUAAAAUUUUCUCGAAUUUUGGAGGGCUAAAUACUAAUAUAUUUUAAUGUAGAAAAAUUAUUUAUAAUUAGUUUUUUGUAAUUAUACGUUAGUCGUUCUUUAUUAUAUCUAGUUUCUUAAGAAAUUAAUUUAAUUAACCGGAGUAAAUCAAUUUUUUAUUUGGGAAAAAGAUUUUUGUGUUUGGAAUGUUUAGAGGGAAAAGCUUUUAGGCAUAUUUAUAUAACAGUGAAAGGUUUUGGAAUGGCGUAGGAUUAGAAGUUUCCAUUUAUAGUGUGUUUUAACUAGGUUCUUGGUGUGAUUUAUUUUUAUUUGUUUAAGUAUUUUAUUAAGAUAAGGGCUUUAAUAUUGAGGUUUUGUGAUAAUGAUGGAAUUAGUAGAAUUGUAUGUAUUAAAAUAUUCUUGGAUUUUAUAUUAUUUUAAGGAAUUAGGCAAAUUUCUUUUCGCCUGUUUAAUAAAAACAUGGCUUUUUGGAAUAGAUUUAAGGUCAGGCCUGCCCAAUGAUAAUUUAAAUGGCUGCGGUAUACUGACCGUGCAAAGGUAGCAUAAUCAUUAGUUUUUUUAUUGAAAGCUGGAAUGAAGGGUUUAACGAGAAAGAAGCUGUCUUAAUUUAAUUAUUUGAAUUUUAUGUUUGAGUGAGAAAGCUUAAAUAGGUUUGAGGGACGAGAAGACCCUAUAGAAUUUAAUAGUUUAGAUGUUUUGGAGUUUUGGUUUAGUAUGGCUAGGAUGGGUAAGACUAUUUUGUUGGGGUGAUUAGGGAAAUUUGAUUAACUUUUUUUUGUUUUUGUCAUUAGUAAAUGAGUGUUGAUCCAUUUAGAGUGAUUAUAAGAAGAAAUUACCUUAGGGAUAACAGCGUAAUUAAUCUGGAGAGUUCAAAUCGAUAGAUUAGUUUGCGACCUCGAUGUUGGAUUAAAAUUGGCUUUUGGUGUAGGGACUAUUGGGCUGAGUCUGUUCGACUUUUAAAAUUUUACAUGAUCUGAGUUUAAACCGGCGUGAGCCAGGUUGGUUUCUAUCUUCAGGAAGAUAAAAUUUUUUAGUACGAAAGGACCAAAAAUUUUCUAUAGUAGGUAUGUGUUGAUGAGAAUU
rnacentral:rRNA from 1 species